ensembl:snRNA Gm54772 U6 spliceosomal RNA
GUGCUCCCUUCUGCAGCACAUGCAUUAAAACUGAAAUGAUACGGAGAAGAUUAGCAAGCACAACCUGUGUGCAGGGAUGACACCAAAAUUCAUGCAGAGUGCCAUAUUUCA